AGCAGAAGGUAAGGGGGACAGAGGACCAUUGAGUAGGCAGUUGUUAGCCUAUGAAGGCAGGGCUAUCUCUUAUCCACUCCUCCCUCCCUUAUGGAGGGGUGAAUAAGAAGACUCCUCUACUGAGCCCAAGCCAGGAGAAGUCCAAGAGAAUCCCUCAUCAAGAUUGAGAGAUGUCUGUGAGAAAGCAGACUAAUGUCAGGUUUGGGGUUGACGGUUCAUUUAUGCAAUCAUUGUGCUGAUCUGAUGUCAGUGACUAUUUUGAACAAGGAAAACAGAAGUGGAGAGAGCUGGCAGAGUGACGGAAGGCACAGUGAAGUCCCCUACUUUUCUACUAUUUAGCACUGUGAAGCCAGAGGAGGAUCCCGUCGGUGAAGUGAGUACCACAGACGCGUCUUGCUGGCACCACAUCCAAGAAGAUUGGUCUUUAGGUGAGGUGCCAUAUUGGAAGAAGAUACCAGACACUACCAGACACCAAACCUUCUGGCACAUCGAUCUUGGACUUCCCAGCCUCCAGAACUAUGAGGAAGACCAUU